UCGUCACGCUGCUCAUCGGCAUUCUUCGGCCAAUUCGCUCGACCCCGACCAAAACCCUAGCCGCCGGGGCCGGCCAGCUCCGUCGCGGCGUCGGCGGAUCUCGUUUCGACGAGGCGAGGCAACUGGAUGGGAUUCUUGAUUCAUCUGAGGCAAUACCGAGUGAUGCUUCCACCUAAUCUCGCCGAUAUGAUAUGUCAAAAAUGUCGUUGGAAUGGUAGGUUCUUUUAUGCAUUGAGUGCAUCAACUUGAAUCCAAUUUGAGCUUGAAGGAAGCUGAUACUUGGCCUGCCAAGGUUCUAACCAUGAGAAAAGGUGAGAUGCAAAACUGUCCCAACACCGCCAUCUCCUUCAACAAGCUCGGCCUUUUUGAAGAUAUCGGGAAGCAAUUGAGGAACAACCUGGCUAAUACGGAGACCUCGAUACAUCUCCCAUACCUCCGCCGUGGGGAGGCCUGUCUCGAAGUCAUGGCAAAGGCUACCUUUCAUUGCUUCUAUGAGCUCUGGGUGGAAUGCCAAAGAUUGCACGGCCAGGAAUCCCUAGCAAGCAGCAAGCAGUUACUUCGCCAGUAUACUCAUUCGCAGCAUCGCUCUGGUCUCUGGCCAGUCAUGUUUGCAGAUUGUGGUGUUCAACUUUGGCGGACUAGAAAUGACACCGUUUUCAACAGAAUACAGACUCCCACUGUGGUGAUCAAAGUCAGGAUUUGUGACAACCUUAGGCUGUGGAACUGCCCUUCAAGGAAGGAUUCAGAAAAGACCACGCUUCUUGCCUGGGUCAACAAAUUUACAGUCGAAUAGGGCAUAUUUUCCAGUUUUCAAUUCAGCCUUCGGCCAGUUCUUUUGUGGUUUCUAUUCUGUUCUCGUUCUUUUGGUUCUUCGUUCCAUCUUUUGGCUGUUCCCAGACCCCCAGUCUGUGCCCCUCUUUGUGCUUCCCGCCCCCUGUGGCUUUUCUGAAUAUAAGGUAGGGAGCUCUACCUUCUCUAAAAAAAUAUUUUAAGUAUUUUAUACUGAAAUAUCUUUUUUUAAAUAAAUGCAUAGAGUUAAGUCAGUUUAGAAACAAAAAAGAUGCAAUACUUCAUGCAAACUUGUAUGUGCCCCUUGUAUGUGAGAUCAUAUUUUGGAAUUUGGAUGUGAAUAUGUGAUGUACAUAAUUAGAUUAGGCCCAAGAAUUCCUGCUGAAGGUUGAUCGUGAAAUUCAUUCAGACGGGAACUUUGGCAACCUGGGCUUCUUGCAAAAGGAUAUAGCCUGGGAUUUUGUUUUAUCAGCUAUGUAUUUUCCCAAGAGUAUGAAAUUGACCCUUUUUACCAUCACAUCAUCUUCACCCUUAAGCGAAUCAUUGACGACCUCAUACUCUGGACGCACCGGAUCAAGAAGCCGGCGCACAAACAGGCCGCCUCCUUAUGGCGUUCCUAUUUCUUAUCACGAUUACACGUGCUUAUGUAAUUCACCUUUGUAAUCAGGCAAACGUUGGGUU